AAUAAAGCUACUAAGGGCACACGGUGGAUACCUUGGCAGUCAGAGGCGAAGAAGGACGUAGAUAACCUGCGAUAAGCUUCGGGUAGUCGGUAAUCAGACAUUUAUCCGGAGAUCUCCGAAUGAGGCAACUCCGCCUAGUGAAAGCUAGGUGACUCUUGCGUAAGAAACUAGCGCAAGUAGAGCUAACGUGGGGAACUGAAACAUCUAAGUACCCACCGGAAUAGAAAUCAAUUGAGAUACUGCAAGUAGCGGCGAGCGAACGCAGUCUAGCCCAAACCAAAGUGCGUGCACUCUGGGGUUGUAGGACCUGCAUCAAGUGGAGAACGAUAGGAGAAGUGUCUGGGAAGGCACGCCAUAGCGGGUGAAAGCCCCUUAUCCGAAAUUGUUCAAAGCGGGCGGGUAUCCUGAGUAAGACGGGGCACGUGAAACCCUGUCUGAAUCUGGGGGGACCACCCUCCAAGGCUAAAUACUACUGACUGACCGAUAGUGUACUAGUACCGCGAGGGAAAGGUGAAAAGAACCCCGAUGAGGGGAGUGAAAUAGAACUUGAAACCGUGUGCUUACAGACAGUCAGAGGGCUAUUGUAAAGCCUGAUGGCGUACCUUUUGCAUUAUGAUUCAGCGAGUUAUGGUAUGUGGCGAGAUUAAGCCGUUGCAGGUGUAGUCGUAGGGAAACCGAGUCUGAAUAGGGCGUUAGUCGCAUGCUGUAGACCCGAAACGGGAUGAGCUAUCCAUGGGCAGGUUGAAGCGGGGGUAAAACCUCGUGGAGGACCGAACCGGUGACGGUUGAAAACGUCUCGGAUGACUUGUGGAUAGGGGUGAAAGGCCAAUCAAAUUCCGUGAUAGCUGGUUCUCUCCGAAAUGCAUUUAGGUGCAGCGUCAGUUGUUUACCAACGGGGGUACAGCACUCACUUGGCUAGGGGUAUUACCGUACUACCAAACCAUAUGAAACUCUGAAUACCGUUGAGUACAGACUGGCAGUGAGUCUACGGAUGCUAAGGUCCGUGGACAAAAGGGAAAGAGCCCAGACCAUCAGCUAAGGUCCCUAAAUUGACACUAAGUGGGGAAGGUUGUGGAACUACUGUGACAUCCAGGAGGUUGGCUUAGAAGCAGCCAUCCUUUAAAGAAAGCGUAAUAGCUCACUGGACUAGUGGUUCUGCGCCGAAAAUGUAACGGGGCUCAAGUGUCGUACCGAAGCUAUGGACAAUUUAUUGUGGUAGGAGAGCAUUGUGCGUGCUGAUGAAGGCAUACCGUGAGGAGUGCUGGAGGUCCCACAAGAGCUGAUGCUGAAAUGAGUAGCGAUAAGGAGGGCGAGAAUCCCUCCCGCCGUAAAUCCAAGGGUUCCUGGGCCAGGUAAAUCCUCCCAGGGUAAGCCGGAACCUAAGGCGAGGCCGAAAGGCGUAGUCGAUGGACAACAGGUUAAUAUUCCUGUGCUUGGUACAAAACGUUUGACCGAAGGAGUGACGGAGAAAGGUAGUGGAUCUGGAGAUUGGUUGUUCCAGUGUAAGGGUGUAGAUGGGCUCGGUAGGCAAAUCCGCUGAGCUAUUAAACAUUGAGGCCUGAUGCCGAUGCGCAAGCAGAAGUCCAUGACCCUCAGCUUCCAAGAAAAGCUUCGUAGGGAGUUUUGUAUUAAUCCGUACCGUAAACCGACACAGGUGGAUGAGGAGAAAAUCCUAAGGCGCUUGGAAGAACUCUAGCUAAGGAACUCUGCAAAUUAGUACUGUAACUUCGGGAGAAGGUACGCCCUUACACGUGAAGUCACUUGCUGACGUAGCGUUUGAGGGUCGCAGUGAAACGGGGGUAGCGACUGUUUAUCAAAAACACAGGUCUAUGCAAACACGCAAGUGGAAGUAUAUGGGCUGACGCCUGCCCGGUGCUGGAAGGUUAAAAGGUGAGGUUAGACGCAAGUCGAAGCUUUAAAUUGAAGCCCCAGUAAACGGCGGCCGUAACUAUAACGGUCCUAAGGUAGCGAAAUUCCUAGUCGGGUAAGUUCCGA
rnacentral:rRNA from 1 species